CUCAUCAGGCUCAUGACCUGAAGACUGCAGGUUCGAAUCCUGUCCCCGCCU
rfam:Triticum aestivum genome assembly, contig: Triticum_aestivum_CS42_TGACv1_scaffold_137648_2BL